GUUUUAAAAGCCACCUACAAAUACCAACAAGCAAGCCCCCAGGAGCUAUUAAAUUAUCACAACAUUCACACGUCUGAAGGCAUUUCUCAUUCAUCUGGAUUCUGUUUGGUUCAGCAAAUAUCCGUUGAGUUUCUACUACUACAUGCCAGACACUGGAAAGACAAAAUGUAAUACCACAGGCCCUGUCCUUGAGGAAUUUCUGGUCAAGCUGGGCAGGGGAAGGGAAACAGAAACUUCCUGUGUAAGUGCUCCCCAGUCAGGCUCACACAGGGCCGUGGGGUAGGUCUGCUCCCAGGAACGGCUGAGGUGUGUGACUGAGGUGCGUGUGGGGUUGGAGGGGUAUCACGGAGAGCUGGGUCUUGGAGAAAGAGCCAGAGGGGGAAGGGUGGGAGAGCCGUUUCUGUCAGAGAACUUGGCAUAAACACAGGCAUCCAGGUGUGACACUGCCCGGUUUCACUGGUCCUACUUGUAAAAGUAGGGCUGGCAAAGGCAAAAGCAGGGCUGAAGCUGCAAAGCAAGGGUGGCAUGCCUGGCUCGAGGGUACCUGGGGUUUGGGUGAGGAGCUUGGAUGCUGUCCUGUGAAGUGGGAGACCCUAGGAGGUGAGCUACUUUGCGCAUGGCACGUCUCUGGACUGGAGAACUACCUUAUGUCCUGCGUAUCAGAGUCCUCCGUUACCAUUUCUUGGAGAGACAUCGAGGAGGAUCACAAACACAUGGAGGAGAGGACACCUGGCUUUAACCUACCUUCGAUAUCACUAUCGUGUUGGCCAAGUCACUUUUCUCAUCUACAAGAUGAAGCCGAUUCAGGGAGAGAGAUAUUGGAGGAUGACGGAGACCUGAACUCAUGUUUGUGACAGUUUUUCCUCUUGAGAAAAGACAGAAAAGUGCUUGGAAAUAUAUUGAUAAUUUGCCUAAGACAUAUGAGACAAAUAAAUUGGUAUAAUCCAGGAAAAUACUAGCCCAUUUAGAAGUCACCUUUAUAUCAAAAGGCAUUUACAAGAAAAGUAAUGGCAACAUUGUUCACAAUUCAAAAUAACUGAAAACAUUCCAAAUGGUUACCAAUAGUAGAAAGGAUGAUUUUGGUGUAUUUGUAAAAUGGAACAUUAGAGAUCAAUGACAAUGAACAAAUAGUAACUGCACAGAACAACGUGGCUGAUUCUUACAGGCUGCUGAGCAAACAGAGCAAGAAAAAAGAAACAGAUGAAACUAAACGAUAAAUUCUUUAGAGACACACACCAAUGCAUAUGAGAUAAAACUAAUGGAGAGCAAGAGAAUUAUUAACACAGAUAAUUAUAUAAUGGCCUCCUCAGUGUGGGAAGAGAAUGGCAGAUAACAAUUGGGGUGAAGAGUUUCAGAGGCAGAGGUAAUGCUUUAUUGAAGUGUGUGGUGAAUAUAUGGAUGUUUACUUUAUUAUUCUUUACAAUGUACGUUAUAUACACACACAUCACAUGUACAAUGUAUAUAAUACAUAGUAUAUAUAAUGUACAUACAGCAUAUUUCAUAAUUUAUAAAUAUGAAAACUAUAUGAAAAAACCCCACUUCACCAUAUAUGUGAAAGAAGACCUAAGUGAAUGGAGAAAUAUUUACUGAGGGAUCAUAGCACUUUUUGUAUAUUUUGAAGACGAAAAUUUUCAUUGAAUUUAAAGAUUUAAAUGGGAUUUCACUCAAGAUCCCAUAUAUAGGCAAGAAAAUUUAAGAAAAAGAUUUUAUAAGAGAAAGGAAAGAAAAAGAAAAGGAAAAGGAAUGGAGGUUUAUUAUCCAAAAUAUAAAAUUGCAUUAUAAGUUUAUAAUAAAAUAGGAAAUGAUGACAAAAUAAACCAUCAGAGCAACGUAACACAAUGUAUAUAUAUAAUAUGUAUAUAGUAUGUGUACAUAGUAUACAUCGUAUAUUUAUGCACAUAGUAUAAAAACAGAUCCUACAUUUUCUUCAUCUAAUAAAGGAUAUUUACAAACAACAUAUAUAACUAAUAUGAUACCCAGUAGUGAAAUAUGGAACACUUUUCCUGAGUUUGGGAACAAGGAAAGGAUAUGCAGUACCAUCACUUCUAUUUAGUGUUGUAAUGGAAGCCCUAUCCAGUGCAAUACAGCUAGAAAAAGAAAAAAAAAGUAUAAAUAAA